GCGCCUGUAGCUCAGGGGAUAGAGCACGGGACUUCUAAUCCCGGUGUCGCAGGUUCGAUUCCUGCCAGGCGUGCCA
rnacentral:tRNA from 1 species